UGCCAGCCGCCGCGGUAAUACGGAGGAUCCAAGCGUUAUCCGGAUUCAUUGGGUUUAAAGGGUCCGUAGGCGGAUUUUUAAGUCAGUGGUGAAAGCCGACAGCUCAACUGUCGAACUGCCAUUGAUACUGGAAAUCUUGAGUACAAAUGAAGUAGGCGGAAUGAGUCAUGUAGCGGUGAAAUGCAUAGAUAUGACUCAGAACACCGAUUGCGAAGGCGGCUCACUGGCUCGAUACUGACGCUGAGGUACGAAAGUGUGGGGAGCAAACAGGAUUAGAUA
rnacentral:rRNA from 1 species